rnacentral:rRNA from 1 species
UACGUACCGUCCAAACGUUAUUCGGAAUUACUGGGCUUAAAGGGUACGUAGGCGGCGCUGUUAGUCGGGUGUGAAAUCCCAGGGCUCAACCCUGGAACUGCGCCCGAUACUGCAGUGCUUGAGGAAGACAGAGGUAAGCGGAACUGAUGGUGGAGCGGUGAAAUGCGUUGAUAUCGGAAGGAACGCCGGUGGCGAAAGCGACGUACUGGACCUCUUCUGACGCUGAGGCGCGAAAGCUAGGGGAGCAAACGGG